rfam:Schistosoma haematobium scaffold1040_2, whole genome shotgun sequence.
CCCCAGUUGACGAGUCCCAAAUAGGACGGAACGCGCGUCCUUCAU